GAUGAACGCUAGCUACAGGCUUAACACAUGCAAGUCGAGGGACCGGCGCACGGGUGAGUAACACGUAUCCAACCUGCCCUUUACUCGGGGAUAGCCUUUCGAAAGAUAGAUUAAUACCCGAUAUAAAGGAUGGGGAUGCGUUCCAUUAGGUUGUUGGUGAGGUACCGGCUCACCAAGCCUUCGAUGGAUAGGGGUUCUGAGAGGAAGGUCCCCCAGAUUGGAACUGAGGCACGGUCUAAACUCGUACGGGGGGGAGCAGUGAGGAAUAUUGGUCAAUGGGCGCUGGCCUGAACCAGCCAAGUAGCGUGAAGGAUGAAGGCUUAUUGGUCGUAUAUUUCUGUUAUAUAAGAAUAGGUAUUAGAUGAAUAAGGAUCGGCUAACUCCGUGCCAGCAGCCGCGGUAAUAC
rnacentral:rRNA from 1 species